CCUACGGGUGGCAGCAGUGAGGAAUAUUGGUCAAUGGGCUUACGCCUGAACCAGCCAAGUCGCGUGCGGGAAGACUGCCCUAUGGGUUGUAAACCGCUUUUGUCAGAGAGCAACGCCGGCUACGUGUAGCCGGCCUGAGGGUACCUGCAGAAAAAGCAUCGGCUACCUCCGUGCCAGCAGCAGCGGUAAUACGGGGGAUGCAGGCGUUAUCCGGUUUUAUUGGGUUAAAGGUGUGCGUAGGCGGCAUGCCAAGUCAGCGGUAAAAUCGCGGGGCUCAACCUCGCUCUGCCGUUGAUACUGGUGGUCUUGAGUGGGCGAGAAGUAGGCGGAAUGCGUGGUGUAGCGGUGAAAUGCAUAGAUAUCACGCAGAACUCCGAUUGCGAAGGCAGCAUACCGGGGCACAACUGACGCUGAAGCACGAAAGCGUGGGUAUCGAACAGGAUUAGAUACCCCAGUAGUC
rnacentral:rRNA from 1 species